GUGGGGAAUCUUGCGCAAUGGAGGCAACUCUGACGCAGCCAUGCCGCGUGCAGGAAGAAGGCGCUACGCGUUGUAAACUGCUUUUAACCGGGAAGAAACCCCAGGACGUGUCCUGGGUUGACGGUACCGGAGGAAUAAGCACCGGCUAACUUCGUGCCAGCAGCCGCGGUAAUACGAAGGGUGCAAGCGUUAUCCGGAUUCAUUGGGUUUAAAGGGUGCGUAGGCGGAGCGUUAAGUCAGUGGUGAAAUCCUGCAGCUUAACUGUAGACUUGCCAUUGAUACUGGCGCUCUUGAGUGCGCUUGAAGUGGGCGGAAUGUGCCGUGUAGCGGUGAAAUGCUUAGAUAUGGCACAGAACACCAAUUGCGAAGGCAGCUCACUAAGGCGAUACUGACGCUGAGGCACGAAAGCGUGGGGAUCGAACAGGAUUAGAAACCCGGGUAGUCC
rnacentral:rRNA from 1 species